rnacentral:misc_RNA from 1 species
AGGAAAAUAUCAUCUUCAGUUGUGAAAGACUUUAAAAAAGUUUUUUCUGUUUUAAAGAUCUAUGAAGGGCCUAUAGCUCAGCUGGUUAGAGCACACGCCUGAUAAGCGUGAGGUCGAUGGUUCAAGUCCAUUUAGGCCCACCAGUUAUGUUAUAAUAACUCAUUGAUUUUUAAAAAUAGCUCUUUGAAAAGUAGAUAAAUUAAGGUUAGAAAAAU